rnacentral:lncRNA from 1 species
CUGAAGUGCUAUUUUAUUUCUCCAAGUAUCUUUCAGCAUCCAUGUGGUGAUCGCCAGUUUUUAGGGGCCUGUUAAUUUGCCUGUGACCGUUCGUUCAUUGCUCAAAUCUGUCAGAUGAUAUCUGACUGCUUUAAAAUAAUAACAAACACUGUAAAAUUCUUUAUAUGCAUGGUAACCUGAAGGCAGUUUACAGAUCCUGAUGUAGCUGUGUAACAAACGUGCAUAUGGUGUACAGGGACAGAUAAGAAAGUACUCCCUCGCUCUGUGGUACCUGCUGGUGAACUGCAGCUGACUCUUCAGGCAAGACACACACGUACUGGUAAAACAUGCAGUGGUAUUAAAAUAGUGCCAGUGGCAAUCAGCUCGUGAUGCGCAUUUGAGGGAGAAGGGUGAGAAAACAGCUGGCAGAUUUUUUUACUUCCAGGUGCUAACUUGUGGUUUUAUUGUCAGUGUUGGCUGCGGAUGGACGAGGAGUUGAACCCAGUUUAUGGAGUAGUCUUGCAAAGUGAAGUCCUGUUCCACACUAACAGAAGCAACACCAAAAGCACUGCUGCAAGGAGCCGCCGGGAGCUCCAGGGUGAAGAGACCUGCCUCCCCUGGGAGACCUCUGCUAAAGGUGAAGACCUCCAAGCAGACCAGGCAGAUUUAGCAGGAGCUCAGGAAUUUUACAUCAAGAGCCCCCUGGAGCAUUACAGCCUACCAUUCAGAGCCUGGACAAGAGCUUGGCCUUGCACUUUUACAGAUCGCUGCCUGUAGCGGAGCACAAAGGGAGCGGCGAGACUCCCACGUCUUUCAGCGAGAAGAAAGGAGGCAGCGGAGCAGACUAACGCGGGCUUGCGUCUGGUGGCCUGGCGGUACAAAGGCUGCCUUUAAAAGAGAAGCGCAGCGUUAUUUAAUGAGCUGUGAGAUGAGGAGGCGCUGCUGCUAACGCUCAGAUCCCGGGAUUCAUCGGCUAUUCAUUGUGCUUAAUGUACAUGUUUCUACACCGUGCAUUUAGGAGAUCCCAGAGAAGAAUCCAAAACGGCUG